GCGGCUUCUGAGAGGUGGAGGAGAGGGGUGUGGCAAAGCAGCAAGGAAGGGGGUCUGGGGUCCAGCCCAGCUGGGACAGUGAAGGUUCCCUGUUCAAGGCCACAGUGGAUGAAGUCCCCAAGAGGGAAGUAAAUGCCACCUGUGAUCUGGGAGAGAAAGAGAAUCAAAGGACACAGAAGCUGCUGCCUCCUGCCCUUACCACAGCCAUCCUGGGAACAUCGUUUGUUUGUUUAGUCUUUAGAUCAUUCACUGGCUGAUUCAGUCAUUCCCUGGUUCAUUAUACAUUCAUUCAUUCAUUCAUUCAUAACUCAUUCUUUGUUUCUCUCAUACAUCAACUAACUCACAACUUGCCUUACUCACUGUGAC
rnacentral:lncRNA from 10 species